AUUAAUGUGAGGAAAGAUGAAAUGGAUAGACUAAGGCAUUUGAAAUUCAACCCUUUCGACACGAAUAAUAAUAUUGCGUUAUCGGAAAACAAUGCAAAUCUCGAUAAAUCGUCAAAAAUAAACUGUGAAUAUUAUCUACCAACUGAUUUUAAAGAACAAAUAAAUGAAACAAACCAAAAUAAUAACUUUUCAAUGAUACACUUAAAUAUUAGAAGCAUGAUUAACAAAUUUGACUCUUUUAAAGAAUUAAUAUAUUCAUUAAAUAAACCGUUUCAAAUAAUAGGUUUAACUGAAACGUGGCUAAAUGAAACUAACGAAGAUCGCUUUAAAUUCCAAAAUUAUGAUUUUGUAAAUGUAAACAGGUCAACUAAAAGUGGAGGAGGAGUAGGUAUUUAUAUCGCAAAUGAACUAAACUAUAAAAUACGCACUGAUCUAAACACAAGUAUUGAGAAUGUAAUUGAAUCUGUCUUUGUCGAAAUUAUAACAACUGUAGGUAAAAACAUCAUAAUAGGUGUAAUAUAUAGGCCACCAAAUAAUCAUUUUGACUCAUUCGAAACUGAAAUGAAUCAAAUAUUAGGACAAAUAGACAAAGAAAACAAAUUAUGCUAUCUAAUGGGGGAUUUUAAUAUUGAUCUAUUGAAAUCAGAAUCUUGUGAUUAUACCAUCAGAUUUCUUGAACAACUAUUCACCUCAUCAUAUGUCCCACUUGUGCUCAGGCCAACAAGAAUCACUCAGCAUACCGCUACAUUAAUUAACAAUAUUUUCACCAAUGAUAUAGAAAAUAUAGAAUCAAGCUCAAAUGGUUUAAUUUUUAGCGAUAUCUCGGAUCAUUUGCCGAUAUUUCAUAUACGAAACUCGAAAACGUAUCAUGAAAAAAUUCAAAAAAAUGAAUUUACCUGUAAAAGGAUUAUCAAUGAUGCCAAUAUUCAAUCGUUUACAAACACAAUCAAAGAUGUAUCAUGGGAUAAUGUACUUUCUAAAAACAACACGGCAGAGUCCUACAAUGAAUUCUUUAACUUACUUUCAAUAGCCUAUGAAAAAAACUUUCCAUUAAGAAGAAAAGUAGUAAAAAGAAAUAUUGACAAAACCCGAAGCCCAUGGAUGACAAAAUGUAUUGCAAAAUCAGUUAAGCAAAAGAACAAGUUAUAUAAAAAAUACCUUCAAUGCCCUACAGAAAAAAAGGAAAAAAUAUACAAACAAUAUAAAAAUAAACUAAAUCAUAUAAUAAGAGCAGCAAAAAAGAAACAUUACGAAGAACAGUUAAUAAAAUAUAAACAUGAUACAAAGGUACUAUGGAAAACAUUAAAUGAAAUUAUGAAUCGAAAUAAAACAAGUAGUAUGUUACCAAUGGAAUUUAUUGGAAAUAGUCCUGGAGAAAAAAUUACCGA